rnacentral:rRNA from 1 species
GAAGAUUACUUUACCGAUUUUAAUGAUCUCGAAGCUAAGCAGGGUCGGGCCUGGUUAGUACUUGGAUGGGAGACCACCUAGGAAUACCAGAUGCUGUAGGCU